rnacentral:rRNA from 1 species
AUACGGAGGGUCCGAGCGUUAAUCGGAAUUACUGGGCGUAAAGCGCGCGUAGGCGGAUAUUUAAGUCAGAUGUGAAAUCCCUGGGCUCAACCUAGGAACUGCAUUUGAAACUGGAUAUCUAGAGUAUGGUAGAGGUAAGUGGGAUUUCAGGUGUAGCGGUGAAAUGCGUAGAGAUCUGAAGGAACAUCAGUGGCGAAGGCGACUCACUGGGCCAUUACUGACGCUGAGGUGCGAAAGCGUGGGUAGCAAACAGGAUUAGAAACCCCUGUAGUCC